rnacentral:rRNA from 1 species
AUGGACGAAAGUCUGACCGAGCAACGCCGCGUGAGUGAAGAAGGUUUUCGGAUCGUAAAGCUCUGUUGUAAGUCAAGAACGUGUGUGAGAGUGGAAAGUUCACACAGUGACGGUAGCUUACCAGAAAGGGACGGCUAACUACGUGCCAGCAGCCGCGGUAAUACGUAGGUCCCGAGCGUUGUCCGGAUUUAUUGGGCGUAAAGGGAGCGCAGGCGGUCAGGAAAGUCUGGAGUAAAAGGCUAUGGCUCAACCAUAGUGUGCUCUGGAAACUGUCUGACUUGAGUGCAGAAGGGGAGAGUGGAAUUCCAUGUGUAGCGGUGAAAUGCGUAGAUAUAUGGAGGAACACCAGUGGCGAAAGCGGCUCUCUGGUCUGUCACUGACGCUGAGGCUCGAAAGCGUGGGUAGCGAACAGGAUUAGAUACCCUGGUAGUCCACGCCGUAAACGAUGAGUGCUAUGUGUUAGGCCCUUUCCGGGGCUUAGUGCCGGAGCUAACGCAAUAAGCACUCCGCCUGGGGAGUACGACCGCAAGGUUGAAACUCAAAGGAAUUGACGGGGGCCCGCACAAGCGGUGGAGCAUGUGGUUUAAUUCGAAGCA